rnacentral:misc_RNA from 1 species
GAUGAAGAACGUAGCGAAAUGCGAUACUUGGUGUGAAUUGCAGAAUCCCGUGAACCAUCGAGUCUUUGAACGCAAGUUGCGCCCGAAGCCAUUAGGCCGAGGGCACGUCUGCCUGGGCGUCACACAACGUUGCCCCCCCAAACCUCGACUUCUAAGAGGACGGGGGGCGGAUGCUGGCCUCCCGUGUGCCACGGCUCGCGGUUGGCCUAAAUGCGAGUACUCGGCGACGAGCGCCGCGGCAAUCGGUGGUUGUCUAACCCUCGGUGCCAUGCUGCGCGCGCGAUUCGCUCACUGUUACUCGACGACCCCAAUGCGUCGUAGCCACGACCCUCACAACGCGACCCCAGGUCAGGCGGGGCUACCCGCUGAGUUUAAGCAUAUCAAUAAGCGGAGGA